rnacentral:rRNA from 1 species
UAUAGCCACAUAGCACCUUGAGAAUGCCUGAUUUUUAAUCUGAGAAGCUAAGCAGGGUUGGACCUGGUUAGUACUUGGAUGGGAGACCGCUGAGAAUAACAAGUGCUGUAU